AUGAAGUUCUUUUUAAGCCGUGAGGUUUUUAGAGAAUCACUGCUUUUCAUCAUUCCUGCUUUUGGUGGCACUGUUUCUUGGGAAGGAGAUGAGACACCAUUUAAGGAAUCCGAUGAAACCAUUACUCAUCAGAUUGUUGACAAGUCAACUACUUACAAGUUCCUCUCUAGAGACUAUGUUCAGCCACAAUGGGUUUUUGAUUGUGUUAAUACAUGAAUCAUCUUGCCAACCGAUGUUUAUUUG